rnacentral:rRNA from 1 species
GAUUUAACGGCCGCGGUACUCUGACCGUGCGAAGGUAGCACAAUCACUUGUUCUUUAAAUGAGGACUAGAAUCAAUGGCGUCACGAGGGUUCCACUGUCUCCUUUUUCUAAUCAGUGAAAUUGAUCUCCCCGUGAAGAAGCGGGGAUAAUAAUAUAAGACGAGAAGACCCCAUGGAGCUUCAAACUCAACGGAUAACUCUACAACUUACUAGAUAUCUUAAGAGACCUAUCCGUUAGUUUUGGGUUGGGGUGACCACGGAGAACAGCCUAACCUCCGUAAUGAAAAGAAUAAAAUCAUAAUCUAAGAGCUACACCUCUAAGAAUUAACAAAUUAACAUACAAUGAUCCAAUUUUAUUGAUCAAUGAACCAAGUUACCCUGGGGAUAACAGCGCUAUCCACUUCUAGAGUCCAUAUCGCCAAGUGGGUUUACGACCUCGAUGUUGGAUCAGGGUGUCCGAGUGGUGCAGCC